rnacentral:rRNA from 1 species
CCUACGGGCGGCUGCAGUAAGGAAUAUUGGUCAAUGGACGAAAGUCUGAACCAGCCAUGCCGCGUGAAGGAUGAAGGCCCUCUGGGUUGUAAACUUCUUUUAUAGGGGACGAAAAAAGCUCAUUCUUGAGCACUUGACGGUACCCUAGGAAUAAGCACCGGCUAACUCCGUGCCAGCAGCCGCGGUAAUACGGAGGGUGCAAGCGUUAUCCGGAUUUACUGGGUUUAAAGGGUGCGUAGGUGGGCAGUUAAGUCAGCGGUGAAAUCUCCGGGCUUAACCCGGAAACUGCCAUUGAUACUAUCUGUCUUGAAUAUCCUGGAGGUGAGCGGAAUAUGUCAUGUAGCGGUGAAAUGCUUAGAUAUGACAUAGAACACCAAUUGCGAAGGCAGCUCGCUACGGGAUUAUUGACACUGAGGCACGAAAGCGUGGGGAUCAAACAGGAUUAGAUACCCGGGUAGUC